CAGUAGCCGCGGUAAUACGUAGGGUGCGAGCGUUAAUCGGUAUUACUGGGCGCAAAGCGUGCGCAGGCGGUUGUGUAAGACAGGUGUGAAAUCCCCGGGCUUAACCUGGGAACUGCGCUUGUGACUGCACAGCUAGAGUAUGGCAGAGGGGGGUGGAAUUCCACGUGUAGCAGUGAAAUGCGUAGAGAUGUGGAGGAACACCGAUGGCGAAGGCAGCCCCCUGGGCCAAUACUGACGCUCAUGCACGAAGGCGUGGGGAGCAAACAGGAUUAGAUACCCCCGUAGUCCCUGUCUCUUAUAC
rnacentral:rRNA from 1 species